AUUGAACGCUGGCGGCAUGCUUUACACAUGCAAGUCGAACGGCAGCGCGGGCUUCGGCCUGGCGGCGAGUGGCGAACGGGUGAGUAAUGCAUCGGAACGUGCCCAGUAGUGGGGGAUAGCCCGGCGAAAGCCGGAUUAAUAUCGCAUACGACCUGAGGGUGAAAGCGGGGGACCGAAAGGCCUCGCGCUAUUGGAGCGGCCGAUGUCGGAUUAGCUAGUUGGUGGGGUAAAGGCUUACCAAGGCGACGAUCCGUAGCUGGUCUGAGAGGACGACCAGCCACACUGGGACUGAGACACGGCCCAGACUCCUACGGGAGGCAGCAGUGGGGAAUUUUGGACAAUGGGGGCAACCCUGAUCCAGCCAUGCCGCGUGCGGGAAGAAGGCCUUCGGGUUGUAAACCGCUUUUGUUCGGGAAGAAAUCCUCUGGGCUAAUACCCCGGGGGGAUGACGGUACCGGAAGAAUAAGCACCGGCUAACUACGUG
rnacentral:rRNA from 1 species